CGCAGGCGCCCAGGCUGGCGCCCCUGCUAACCGGGCACUGGUGGCAGGGAAAUUCGACUCCACAAACCACAGGCCUCGGCGGGGGAAGAGCCCGGCGGGCGCCAGCGAAGCGGAACCAAACGGAGCCGCGGCACGCAGGCGCAAAGGCUGGCGUUCGAGGUUCGUUUACGCGCCGCUUCGCCGUGCAGGUGGUGGCGAAGCGCUCCUCCGAAAGGUUUCGGAAGCUGGUGGUAGCUCUGAAGAUAACGCUGCGUUAGGGCAUACUGCGGCGGAGGAUGGAACUCCGAUUGAAAGCAGUUGCUGGAGUGGAGCACGAAUUUCAACAAGCCGCAUGUUGAAGUGUGAGGCGUGAAAGGGUAUGUCUGAUAUUUGCUUUAAAAUGCUCCAGCAAAGAAAUUAAGGGAUGGAUGAAGCAAAA
rnacentral:lncRNA from 1 species